ACGGGAGGCAGCAGUGGGGAAUAUUGCACAAUGGGGGAAACCCUGAUGCAGCGACGCCGCGUGAGUGAAGAAGUAUUUCGGUAUGUAAAGCUCUAUCAGCAGGAAAGAAAAUGACGGUACCUGACUAAGAAGCCCCGGCUAACUACGUGCCAGCAGCCGCGGUAAUACGUAGGGGGCAAGCGUUAUCCGGAUUUACUGGGUGUAAAGGGAGCGUAGACGGUAAGGCAAGUCUGAAGUGAAAUGCCAGGGCUCAACCCUGGAACUGCUUUGGAAACUGUCCUACUAGAGUGCAGGAGAGGUAAGUGGAAUUCCUAGUGUAGCGGUGAAAUGCGUAGAUAUUAGGAGGAACACCAGUGGCGAAGGCGGCUUACUGGACGGUAACUGACGUUGAGGCUCGAAAGCGUGGGGAGCAAACAGGAUUAGAUACCCUGGUA
rnacentral:rRNA from 1 species